AAGGUGGGCACUCUAAGGAGACUGCCGGUGACAAACCGGAGGAAGGUGGGGAUGACGUCAAGUCAUCAUCGGCCCUUACGGCCUGGGCUACACACGUGCUACAAUGGUCGGUACAAAGGGUUGCCAAGCCGCGAGGUGGAGCUAAUCCCAUAAAACCCGAUCGUAGUCCGGAUCGCAGUCUGCAACUCGACUACGUGAAGUCGGAAUCGCUAGUAAUCGCAGAUCAGCAUGCUGCGGUGAAUACGUUCCCGGGUCUU
rnacentral:rRNA from 1 species